UUAUCCAGGUCAUAUGUGUAUCAUGUAUUAUACUACUUAUGUAUUAUUCUUAAUGUUUGUGGUCAGUUGCUGAGGCUGUUCCCAGGCUGCUCUUUGUCAGAUGUCAUAUCCAGUGCCACUGCUCAAACAGUCAAAGCUCAGUUGAUGGAGCAGACCCAGAUGUGGAAACUUGCUGGCCGUCCUGCGUCAAGGUGGAAAAAGACUUCCUUCGUCACACUAGUAUAUUCACACAUAACUCACAGGGUUGUUAUUGUAUUUUGUAGCAUAAUUCAGUCUAGUUACCUGUAUUUGCUGUCUUCUGUCUCUGCUUUUUUUAGGCUUUCAGACAAGCUUCAGAGAAUGGCCCUCCAGCAUGACACAGACAGCCAGUCUGAAACAGCCUCUCAAAGCUCAUUAAGUGUGGAGAAUGUGGAAACAAAACUUAAACCCUGUGUAUCUCCCCGAGACCUGCUCAGCAGCAAGGAACAGGUGACCGAGGCAGUAAGGAAGGUCCUGCACCAGAGGCAGUCUCUGUAUCGUACCGGACCUCGUCUUUCUCCACUUCGCCUUGCAGAUGCUUCAGAGGCUGCCCUCUGUGCUGCCAAGCAUCCAUACGCAUGGAGGAAUUUCAGAGGCUUGGGCCUUAACUGUUGAUGGCUUGUCAGAAUGGCUCUGUAGCAAUCAAACUGCAAAACCCUGCAUAUAAUAUCUUGAGUUUGACCCAAAACAGAUUAAUCACUGAGACAGAGUUUGUCGAAUCUUGCUAUUAUUAAAGAACCUCACAUAUAUGUAGAGUGCAACAACAUAAUAGUACAGAAACACAAACCUAUUCACAGGAAAGCUGUAGCAUUUUUAGUUGGACUACUAAAAAUAUGUAACUUGUAGAUGACUUAGAAAUAAAACCACAAUUUUCUGAGCAUUAGUUUGGCUCAACUUAGGGAAAUGUCUAGAGGGGAAGUUUAUUAUUAGAAGACAAUAACUGUAGAGUUGAAUUCAUUGUAUUUCAAUUUAUUGAUAUUAAUAUUAAAAAAUAUUACUUAUAUGCCAAAAAGGUGCAAUACUUUCUACAGUAUUGGUAGUACAGAGUCAGAAUUGGUUCCACAUUUUUGUGUUACUGCAAGUAGAAGAAACACUUAAGAAUGCCCACCAAUGUGAGAGCUAAACAAGGUGACAGUGGCAUCUGAAUGUGUGGUUGCCGAAAUGGUAUAGCUAAACAGCACCAAUCAAGAGGAAAAGCAGCAGAACUCACAAAUUGAAACACUCUGCAUUUAAAACAGAUGAUGUAGGCAAUGUUGACAAUGCACAAAAAUGGACUGCAAAUAUGGAUUAUAUUAUUUUAUAUUAUAA
ensembl:lncRNA